ACAACAACAACAACAACAACAAACCCAGUGUAUUUCCACUUAGUGGGGUCUGGGGGGGGUAAGAUGUACGCAGUCCAUACCUCUACCUCUGAUGAAGUAGAAAGGCUGUUUCCGAAAGACCCCCGGCUCAAGUUACGAGAUAUCACACAAACACAUAGUACAGCACAGAAGCAGAUGACAUAACAUAGAUACUGCAGCCAUAAGGAAUAUAAAACAGAGUAAAGCAGGAAAGCAGGAAUAUAAAGCAGAGGAAAGCACACAGAUUCGUAACAAACAUAGAACACGGAACACGGAACAGAACAUUGAAUACGGAAU
rnacentral:lncRNA from 1 species